rnacentral:rRNA from 1 species
GACGAACGCUGGCGGCGUGCUUAACACAUGCAAGUCGAACGGUAAGGCCCUGCUUUUGUGGGGUGCUCGAGUGGCGAACGGGUGAGUAACACGUGAGUAACCUGCCCUUGACUUUGGGAUAACUUCCGGAAACUGGGGCUAAUACCGGAUAGGAGCUCCUGCUGCCUGGUGGGGGUUGGAAAGUUUCGGUGGUGGGGGAUGGACUCCCGGCUUAUUAGCAUGUUGGUGGGGUGGUGGUUUACCAAGGCUUUGAUGGGUAGCCGGCCUGAGAGGGUGACAGGGCACAUCGGGACUGAGAUACGGCCGAGGCACCUACGGGAGACAGCGGUGGGGAAGAGUGCACCAUGGGCGGAGGCGUGAUGCAGCAACGCCGCGUGCGGGAGGUCGGCCUUCGGUUUGUAAACCGCUUUCGCGUGUGACGAGGCGUGAGUGACGGUAAGGGGAAAAGAAGGACGGGCUAACAACGUG